rnacentral:rRNA from 1 species
UAACAUGGGAAACUAUUGGAAACAAUAGCUAAUACCGGAUAUAGUUAUUUAUCGCAUGAUGAGUAAUAGAAAGGAGCUUCACAGCUUCACUUAAAAAUGGGGGUGCGGAACAUUAGUUAGUUGGUAGGGUAAUGGCCUACCAAGACGAUGAUGUUUAGCCGGGCCGAGAGGCUGUACGGCCACACUGGGACUGAGAUACGGCCCAGACUCCUACGGGAGGCAGCAGUAAGGAAUUUUCCACAAUGAGCGAAAGCUUGAUGGAGCGACACAGCGUGCAGGAUGAAGUUCUUCGGAAUGUAAACUGCUGUUAUAAGGGAAGAAAAAAUAGAAUAGGAAAUGAUUUUAUCUUGACGGUACCUUAUUAGAAAGCGACGGCAAACUAUG